rnacentral:rRNA from 1 species
GACGAACGCUGGCGGCGUGCUUAACACAUGCAAGUCGAACGGAAAGGCCCUGCUUUUGUGGGGUGCUCGAGUGGCGAACGGGUGAGUAACACGUGAGUAACCUGCCCUUGACUUUGGGAUAACUUCAGGAAACUGGGGCUAAUACCGGAUAGGAGCUCCUGCUGCAUGGUGGGGGUUGGAAAGUUUCGGCGGUUGGGGAUGGACUCGCGGCUUAUCAGCUUGUUGGUGGGGUAGUGGCUUACCAAGGCUUUGACGGGUAGCCGGCCUGAGAGGGUGACCGGCCACAUUGGGACUGAGAUACGGCCCAGACUCCUACGGGAGGCAGAAGUGGGGAAUAUUGCACAAUGGGCGGAAGCCUGAUGCAGCAACGCCGCGUGCGGGAUGACGGCCUACGGGUUGUAAACCGCUUUCGCCUGUGACGAAGCGUGAGUGACGGUAAUGGGUAAAGAAGCACCGGCUAACUACGUG